rnacentral:lncRNA from 1 species
UUCACCUGCAGGCCCAGUGGUGAUUCCUGCAUAGUCCUAGGAGGUGUCUUGGGCCCAGGCUCUGGAGUUGGAGGCUCAGUUUCAGCCUUGCACAGGGUCUCUGUUGCAGGUGGCCACUUCUGUACCACAAGGGAGAACGUGUGUCUGGCAAAGCAUGGUGCUACCCAGGGUGAGGCCGAGCUGGAUGAUGCUCCAGUCCUGAACCCCACUCAUGGACACUCACUCACCCAUCUCCGGGGUCCGCCCGGCUCCCGGCGCAGCCCAUCUACUAGGGCAGCAGCCUCCUCGGGGCUGCCUGGCCGCUGCCCCUGCACACGGGCCUGGAUCUCAGGGGGCAGUGCGCCCAGGAACUGCUCCAGCACCAACAGCUCCAGCAUCUGCUCCUUGGAGCGUACCUCUGGACGCAGCCACUGGCGACACAGCUCUCGGAGCUGGGCCAGGGCCUCUUGGGGCCCUGUGGCCUCCUCAUAGCGGAAGCACCGGAAACGCAGGCGUGCAGCUUCAGGGCCUGGGUCCCAUAAGGCAGCCUCACCCUCCUCCUCAGAGUCCUCUAGCUUCACCAUGACAGGCCCCUCAUCUUCUGGGGGUGCUCGGUCUGGGGAGCCCAGCACCGCAGGCCUCAUAGAGGGUACCAGGUCAGGUAUCUGAGGCCAGUGUCUGCCCCUGGUGAAGAAA